rnacentral:tRNA from 1 species
GGGGAUAGCUCAGUGGUAGAGUGCGUGCUUAGCAUGCAUGAAGUCCUGGGUUCAAUCCCUAGUACCUCCA